rnacentral:lncRNA from 1 species
ACAAACACCAGACGAUAAAAAAAAAAAACUAUGAUGAUAAUAAUUUAAUUUUUAAAUUUCAAUUUGAAACAAAUAAAACUUUAUCCAAAAUACCAAACAAUAAUAAAGAUAUAAAAAAUGAAUUAAAUAAAGAAACAACAUAUAUCAGUCAAAGUGAUAUUAAGACAGUUAAUUCUGGAUUUGUCAUUUUGAAUGAUGAAAAGAAAAAUAGUGAUAAGUAUAAACAAAAACGUUUAAUGUUAGAUCGACAAAAUAAAUUGCAUGAACAUAUAAAUAAUAAUACAAUAUAUGAAAAAGAUCGUGUAAAAAUAUGGAAUAAUCAUAUUAAUACAUAUGAUACUAAUAUUUCUUCACACAAAAAUGUGAAUCAAUUAAAUGAACAGUUAGAUGUUUUUUCAAACGAAUUAUCAAAAAACUAUUUUAAAAGUAAUGGUAAUAAUAAUAUGUACGAAAAUAAUAGUCAGUAUUUAAACUUAUUUAAUGUAAAAAAAAGGAAAAUUAUUUCAAAUGAAAUAUCGAAAAGUAUACAUCAAAGUGGUACAUACCAUAAUGGUAACAACGUUACAUAUCAUAAUAGGAAUAAUGAUAGUAGAUGUCAUAGUAAUGUUACGCAAAGAAUAGAACAAAUGGAAAAAACAAAUAAUAACCCAUUUGAUGUCAACAAAUAUACUAAAAAAUUAACUAAUUAUCAGAAUGAAAAUAACGAUAUAAAUGAUACUUGUACAGGCAACUCCUACAACUAUAUAAAACGAGUAUAUCAUGAAAUUAACAAUUUAAAUAAUUUUAAAAUUAAUAAAACCGAUAAUAAUGUUAUAAAAAUUGAUGAUUCAGAGUUUGAAAAAUGUAGUGAGUCUGAAAAUUGUAGUGAGUCUAAAAAUGGUAGUGAGUCUAAAAAUGGUAGUGAGUCUAAAAAUGGUAGUGAAUCUGAAAGUGGUAGUGAGUCUGAAAGUGGUAGUGAAUCUACAAAUGGUAGUGAGACUGAUAGUGGUAGUGAGUCUACAAAUGGUUGUGAGCCUGGAAAUAGUAGUGAAUCUAAAAAUGGUAGUGAGCUUGCAAAUAGUAGUGAGUUCGAAAAUGAUAGUGAUCUUGAAAAUGGUAGUGAGUUACAAAACUAUAGCGAGUUACAAAAUUAUAGCAACAUACAAAAUUAUAACAACAUACAAAAUGACAAUAUCUGCUUUAAAGGUCCAAAAAAUACAACUGAUUUUGUUUUGACACGUGAUCAAGUUCAAAAUCAAGAAACAAAUAGAUUAUUAAAUUACAAACACGACAAAAAUGAUAAUAAUUACCACCAGAUACAGAAUCACAUUUACAACAGAGGUGAUAGCUACGAUUUUGCGAAUAGAAAUAAUAAUAAUGUUCAUUUGGAUGCAAACAUAAAAAACAACGAUAAUAUUUUUAUAAACGAUCAAAACUUAAAUAGAGAAAAUAAAAGUAACAUAAAAAAUAAUAAAGCUACUAAUAAAAAUGAAAUAUAUUGUGACUACGACUUAACCAGUGACGUAAACAAUAAAGACAAUAAUGACAUACAACACAUGAACCGUAAAAAAAAUGACUACAUGUAUACAAGUAGUGAAAUGUCGAAAUAUAAUUUUGUUCCGUAUAAAAUAAACAAUAUAUAUGAUAUAAUCAACAAAAUAUAUAGGAAUUUUAAAAAAACUAUGUAUUUAGAUAAAUUAGAAUAUUAUGUUUAUGCUUUUUUAAAUUUUUCUUUAACUGAAUACAUAAAAUUACAAUUUUUACAAAAAGAAAAACAGAUAAAUAUAGAAAUAUUAAAAUGGUAUAUAAUUAAAAAAAAAAAAGAUCAAAAAAAUGUAUGGUUUUUAAAUAAUUACAAAAUUGAUAAUCAUAGUAUUACCCGAUUAAACAGAUUAAAUUAUAUUGAUGAUUCGAUUAUUGAUUUUUUUAAUAAUUAUAUUUAUUCAUUUAUUUUAAAGCUCGACAAUAAUAAUAAUAGUAGUAGUAGUAGUAGUAAUAAAAAUAGCAGAAGUUAUAAAAACGACAUAUACAUUUUUAAUACCUUUUUUUAUAAAAAAAUUGAAUUAUAUGAUGAUGAAUUUAAGGCAUAUAAGAACACCAAAGGUUGGAUUAAAAAAUUAAAAAAAAAAAUAUAUGAAUAUAAAUACGUUUUUGUACCAAUAAAUGUUAAUAACACUCACUGGUCACUAGUAUUAAUAUAUUUUUCCUUCAACAAUAUACAAAAAUAUAAAGAAAAUUGUUU